rnacentral:rRNA from 1 species
AUGGCACCAACUAUGCCGAGUUUGCGGGCUUUAUGCGUAUCCACAUGCGCGGUCUCCUUCUGUAGGGUGUUCUCUCUGGCGAGGUCCCCUGUCCGCCUUGCCCUGUUGCUCCAGUGGCUCCUACCCCGCCAGCACCGCCGGUUCUUGCUGCUGAUGCUUCUCAGGCUGAUCGUGAUGCCGCCAAGGCUCUCGAUGAUACUGCAGUUGAUGCCUAUGAUCAGCAGAUGUCAGCCUAUUCGGAUGCCCUUUCUGCCUAUCGUGAUGAUCUGUCUGCUUACACUCAGUGGUGCAACGAUGAUGCUCGUGCUGCUGCUGUUCUUACUGCGAGUGUCCUUCCUCAGUUCGCCUCGGAGUUCAUGGGACUUGGCACAGUUGCAGCGAUGUGGUCUUAUCUCUGCCAGCGCUAUCAGCCCUCUGGUGAUGCUCUCUACCUAUCUGUGGUGCGUCAGGAGCAUGCACUCCAGCAAGGUGAUUCCUCUGUUGAUGAGUUCUAUUCACAGUGCUCUGCCAUCUGGUGUCAGCUUGACUCUCUUCGGACCGUCGUUUGUGGAACUUGCCGUUGCUGUCAGACUACACGGUCCGAUUUGGAGUUUCAGCGGGUUCACGAGUUCUUAUCUCGUCUUCGCUUUGAGUUCGAGCCUCGCCGUGCUCACCUGCUCGCUCGUGGUCGUGUUCCUAUCUCGGAGGUACUUGCUGAGCUUCGUGCUGAAGAGACCCGCCUACGCUCUGCUGGGUUACUUGUGGUUCCAUCAGUGUUGGCCGCCCGAGCUUCUAUGCCACCUGCUCGCCUCACCGCUCCACCGCUCCUGCCUACUCCUUCAGGGGGUGGGUCGUCCUUCUUAUGCUAAGAGGGGCCGGUCGCGCCGUGACACCUUCUGUGGCUACUGCUCUCGGCCAGGUCACCCAGAGUCUGAUUGCCGUGAGAAGAAGCGAGACCAGAGGCGCUCCUCUUCCAGUGGGACUCCUGAAUUCUCCUCGACCCCGUCAUUCACUGACCAGGACAUUAUGAGGCUCAAGCGUCUCUUAGCUUCCUCAGGCUCUUCGUCGACCGGUUCCGCUGCUGCUGUGACUGCAGCCACUGCUCCACCACCGUAG